GCAGAACAAAUAUUUCGGCCGAUCGCGCGAUCAUUCUGCAGUCCGAAACAAGAGAAAUCACGCACUGAACUGAUUUUUAUUACCGGCCGCGAAAUGCAGAACAAAUAUUUCGGCCGAUCGCGUCAUCGUUCUGCAGUCCGAAACAAAAGAAAUCACGCACUGAACUCAGUUGGUGGGAACUUAUCAAGCAACUGACUGCAAAAAGUAGAUUCGCAACGAUCGUAUUGAUAGCUAUUCCAGCGGAACAUUCUCGCCAUUGCCUUCAGAAUUACAAGUAAAAUGUUACGCUACAGAAAAUUUAUUUGCAUCUGUGGUGUCUGCAAUGAUUACUUGGUGGCUCGUAUGUAACUCACGUGUAGAGAUGCCGCAAAUUAUUCGAUUACUUCGAUUAAUCGAUUCAUCGUUGUGAUUAGGUUGUGAUAAUCGAUUAAUUUUGAAUCGAUUACUAUACCCAAUAUUGUCAGUUUUGCUGGUAACAACACUUUUUAAUCACCUUAAAAAUCGUCGCCAAUAUCUUUAAUUUGAAUCUGUGUUAGUUCAAAGCCAAACCUUGAAAAUAUGCAUGAAAAAAAAGUACUCAAUUUCGGGAAAUAAUGUGAUUAUUGAAAUCAAACAAUUUUGUUCACAGUUGAUUUGACAGAUCUUAUGGGCAUUUUUGCUGGCGACGAUUUCGGCGACGAUUUGCUUUGCGACGAUUUCAAAUCGUCGCGGCCGAUAAUUUGGGAAAUAGAUAAUAUCAUUCGCAACGAUGUCGACGGUAUUGGUUACAGAGAGGGUUGAUACUGAGAUUUUGAAGAAAAAUAUCAAUAAUGUACUAAAGACACAACGUAAAAUUGCAAAUAAUAUACAUUUCAUAUAGCUACGCAGUCCUACGUCACCUUUGGGUACAACUCAAUGCAGCUUUUUUCAGUUCACCCAGAAGCCUGACUUGAUAUCGAUAUGGAUUUCAGGUAGCCUAGACGAAUAUUUGCCAUUAUGACAAAUAGUGUACUGAUAGCUUUAGAACAAACAUUUGAUCCGGGUACACGUACAAAUGUAUGUCCAUUUUUAAGGCACAGCACUACGAACGCUUGAAAAUGAAUAACUCAUUUACCUGAGUUGAACAAAACCUUGCCGGUUCGCCUUGUCCAGUUAGUUCAUUUCCUUCUCUCGUUAAACCAGAAGCAGUCGUGUUUCCCUUUUUUUGUGAAAAUGUUCCGGACAGACAACAUGGCCUCAUUGCGAUUCCAAUUGCCCUGCGAAUAUUCCUCUGAGAAUGGAACCUAGCGUUCCGUCGGACGGGAAUAUCUCGCAGAGGCAAUAUCACGUUUCGAAAAUACUUUGUUGUACGUAACCACGCUGGGAAAAAUAACUAAGAAUACAAACAUUAAACAGGCCGAUGGAUUUUAUUACCCGACCAUCAGGCAUCAACGUUGGACUCCUUUUGUCGAAUGGGCCAUUGUUCAAAAGCUUCCUGUAUAUGUAUUUCAAUGUUGAAUAAAGUAACUUUAUAAGCUUUAAACUAA